GCUACACGAAGGGGGAACUAGGUCGAACACAAUGGGACAACAUACCAGUGGAAACAGUCACCGACACGGGCUGUUCACAUGAAGCGGCGGCACCACGGCGGUGGCACGCGAUGGAGAAAGAUUCCCGGUGACCGAGUCGCCGUUUCUACUUAGAAACACCAUGAAUCCCCUCGGUGUUGCACAGGCGAAUCGUCACAGUACUCCUAGAUGGACGAGCGGGGAGGGAACAAUGAUCCUAACACGGCGCGCCGGCAAUGCCCACGGCGGAGCUUUUAUUUCUGGCGGCGAGCACUCGACGGACUCAACUAUGGCACCGGUGCGGUCA
rnacentral:lncRNA from 7 species